UAGUAACGGCGAGUGAAGCGGCAACAGCUCAAAUUUGAAAGCUGGCCCUUUCAGGGUCCGCAUUGUAAUUUGUAGAGGAUGAUUCGGCGAGGGCUCCCGCCUAAGUCCCCUGGAACGGGGCGUCAUAGAGGGUGAGAAUCCCGUAUGCGGUGGGCUGCCUUAGCCAUGUGAAUCUCCUUCGACGAGUCGAGUUGUUUGGGAAUGCAGCUCUAAAUGGGAGGUAAAUUUCUUCUAAAGCUAAAUACCGGCCAGAGACCGAUAGCGCACAAGUAGAGUGAUCGAAAGAUGAAAAGCACUUUGGAAAGAGAGUUAAAAAGUACGUGAAAUUGUUGAAAGGGAAGCGCUUGCAACCAGACUUGUCCGCAGUUGCUCAGCCGGUCUCCUGACCGGCGUACUCUUCUGCGGCCAGGCCAGCAUCAGUUCGGGCGGUCGGAUAAAGACCUCGGGAAUGUAGCUCCUCUCGGGGAGUGUUAUAGCCCGGGGUGGAAUGCGGCCAGCCUGGACUGAGGAUCUCGCUUCGGCAAGGAUGCUGGCGUAAUGGUUGUAAGCGGCCCGUCUUGAAACACGGACCAAGGAGUCUAACAUCUAUGCGAGUGUUUGGGUGUCAAACCCAUACGCGUAAUGAAAGUGAACGGAGGUGGGAACCCGCAAGGGUGCACCAUCGGCCGAUCCUGAUGUCUUCGGAUGGAUUUGAGCAAGAGCAUAGCUGUUGGGACCCGAAAGAUGGUGAACUAUGCCUGAAUAGGGUGAAGCCAGAGGAAACUCUGGUGGAGGCUCGCAGCGGUUCUGACGUGCAAAUCGAUCGUCAAAUUUGGGU
rnacentral:rRNA from 1 species